GCCUGAAUGAAAACAACAUGCCAGCCUUGCUUCAGAUAACAACAUUCCCUGGAUCAGAACAAGGCUUUCAAGCAGGACUCUGACUCAGAUUUACCAGUGAAAGGUUUUUCCCCAUCUGAGACCCCAGGAUGGACUGCAUAUACACCACAUUUCUAGAUGUCCCUACUUCAAGCAUGCCACCAAUUCACUGAAAAAUACUUGAAGGACAUCCUGCAGCACAUUUUGCUAGAGUUUUUCAAUGAAUAUCUCAUCAAGUCUAAACCAAUUCAACAAAGUUUGUGGCAGCCACAAAAAUGAAGUUUCUGGAGUUAAAAAACUACUUUCAAAGUAAGUACUGCACAAUUAAACAGGAAUAACACUUUCAAACCAGGAACAGAUUUUUUUUUUCAAAUUUUGUUACAUAGUGUUUAUCCUAUGCCUUAC
rnacentral:lncRNA from 11 species